GUCUUAUUCUAGUAUUAUUACAAGCACCUCAAGAAAAAAACUGAUGCCAGUCAAAUGCCAAGUUGAUAAUGAGACCGGUCGGCACAACAUUUGACGCCACAGCUUCACCUCACCACGCAUGCAAUACUGAGCCAACCCAGACUUCCAGCACAUUCAAGAAAACUGCAGAGCCGUCACUUUUCACCAACUUUCCUUUGUUUAAUAAACACAUAUUGGAC